rnacentral:rRNA from 1 species
AGUGAACGCUGGCGGUAGGCCUAACACAUGCAAGUCGAACGGCAGCACAGUAAGAGCUUGCUCUUACGGGUGGCGAGUGGCGGACGGGUGAGGAAUACAUCGGAAUCUACUUUUUCGUGGGGGAUAACGUAGGGAAACUUACGCUAAUACCGCAUACGACCUACGGGUGAAAGCAGGGGAUCUUCGGAACUUGCGCGAUUGAAUGAGCCGAUGUCGGACUAGCUAGUUGGCGGGGUAAAGGCCCACCAAGGCGACGAUCCGUAGCUGGUCUGAGAGGAUGAUCAGCCACACUGGAACUGAGACACGGUCCAGACUCCUACGGGAGGCAGCAGUGGGGAAUAUUGGACAAUGGGCGCAAGCCUGAUCCAGCCAUACCGCGUGGGUGAAGAAGGCCUUCGGGUUGUAAAGCCCUUUUGUUGGGAAAGAAAAGCAGCAGGUUAAUACCCCGCUGUUCUGACGGUACCCAAAGAAUAAGCACCGGCUAACUUCGUG